AAAGUGACAAGAUGCAAGUUCGUCAGCAUUUUUUCAUUUUAGACCGCUUGGCAGCGAUGCAAUCUUGCGUCCUGUGGAGAAAAACUGCGGAUAAACUUCCAGCUUGUCCCUUUUAUUCAAAUCGAGAAAUCGAUCAUGCGACUUACGCCCUUAUUCUAGCACACGCUUGAGUUUUACUUCGUCUGCUAUACAGUCUUGUUUACGCUGGUCGCAUCAUUAGCAGGAUCAUAGUGAAUUUCGUCUCUCAAUUUCCGAAACUUGCUCAUACACUCGUCACACAUGCAGAUAAUUUUAGACGAGCACAACACACACAAUACAUCUUCAAUCAAUUCAACGCAGCUAGCAUGGAAGAAGCCGGCACAAUAUCCUUCGCAAACGGUAUAGAGGUCGGCUUUGAAAUUGAUUCUCAGAGAGCACUUUUUGCAAUUUUUUUCUCCAUCCAUGUUGAAGCGGGAAUGGCAGCAACUGUACUUUCAACCAAAUGCCGAUUAUCGAUAUUCUAGAAUAUCACAAUAUCACGACGUAAACUUAAAAUAUCACCAAAAUAUUCGAUGGAGAGGUUUCAACGGCUUGAUCGGAUAGCGCAGAUAACGUUACUAUGACCAGAGAUCUACUAAACUAAAGAUGACAGAUAGUCCGGAUUGCUAAUUAAGGAACCAGUUGGUUGGAAUUCUGUAUCACGUAUUUAUAAAUAAGACAAAAUUAUAACACUAUAAAAGAAGGGAGAGAUGUAGGAUCUUAGUAGUCCAUGAUUUGUAACUUGACAAGGAACUCUAAUAAAUAUAUCAUUGUUAAUUACACCACUAACCAAACAAGUCUCGUCUCUACACUGGGAUUUCCACAGAAAAUUAUUCCCAGAAAUCCGCCAGAGAAUGCAUUAGAAAUCAUUUUAAUCACUUCUCCUGGAAGGCCCUAUAAGUACUAAUUAAAUACAAAUUUCAAUUGGUAGUUAAAGUAUCUUUCAGUUGUUCAUUAAUAAUUUGUUUAGAAUUUUCAGGAAUCAAAAACAAAAAAUACAAAAAAAAUCUAGGAGUCUCACCAAAAAAGUUUUUAAGAUCAUUGAGCAAGGAUUAAUUUCACGAAUUCUUCAGAACAGAACUAACAGAAAAUGAUUGGUGUUAAAACGGAUGAAAGUUUUACUGAAAUUAGUUGCAACUAAAAUCUUAGGUAAUAUUUUGUAUGAAGUCCGGAGUUUCAUGAUACUAUAUAGUGAACAUAUUGAUAGAGAAACAACCAAUUUUUUUCCCACCUUUAGAAAUCCCAAAUAAACUUUUUUGAAGGGUCUAUUAUUGAUUAUUUUGUAGUACAGUAGAAAUUUAACGCGAAAACAUUGCCGGUAUUUUUUUAAGAACAUUGCCGAAGAUGUAUUGUGCAUUACCGUACACCCCGGUAAUUUGAACGGUACCUCAUGCAAACCACCGGGGUUCAUUUUUAUUUCGAACAUCUAGUCACCCUAGAAACGUGUUUCUGGUAACCUCUUUCACUGUUUUGUUUUGAUUCUGCGUUCCGUUCCACAAUCCGUUCCAAUAUAUCCUUCCUUGAAUUCUGGGUUUCUAGAUUUCUGCCAGAAAGCCUGUAGAAAUUUCGCCUACGUAUCGCACAAAAAUUCAAACCAAGAAUAUGGAUUCUGACAAUAAUUGGUAAAAUUAUUUCUAAAGAAGGGUUUUAAGGAAUAUCAAUACAAACUUCUUUAUGAAUACCUUAAUAAAUCCCUUCCCCCUUCCCCCUUCCCAAUUAUUUUGUUACAUAUUUCUCUAUUUUACCACUUUCAACAUAUUUCCUUUGAACAUUCGAAGGCAAGAUACAUUUGGAAAACAAUUUUCUUUCCAAUUCAUGAAUAAACUGGGGAAGCGAUUGUUUUGUUAAUAACAAGAGUCGUGCACAUUAAUUCAGAAAAUUUCGCUACAUGUUAAAUUGUUUUUAAUUCUUGGGAGGGGUGAGGCCCCUCUGACACACCCCCCUCCCCCGGUACUACGCCAAUGCCAGUUACGAUGUAAUUAGUGUUCAAUGAAUUAUAAGAAAAUUUAAAUAACAAAGGUUAUAAAAAAUGAAUUUAGAAUGUUUGAUGAACAUGGAACACAGAAUCGACAAAUGUCCGGCAUUAAAUUUAUCAAUUCAAAAUAAAAAUUCUUUGUUUAUUGGAAAUAAUAUUAUUUGGUGAAAGCUACUUCCACAGACAAACAGAC